rnacentral:rRNA from 1 species
GACGAACGCUGGCGGCGUGCCUAAUACAUGCAAGUAGAACGCUGAAGGAGGAGCUUGCUUCUCUGGAUGAGUUGUGAACGGGUGAGUAACGCGUAGGUAACCUGCCUGGUAGCGGGGGAUAACUAUUGGAAACGAUAGCUAAUACCGCAUAAGAGUAGAUGUUGCAUGACAUUUGCUUAAAAGGUGCAAUUGCAUCACUACCAGAUGGACCUGCGUUGUAUUAGCUAGUUGGUGGGGUAACGGCUCACCAAGGCGACGAUACAUAGCCGACCUGAGAGGGUGAUCGGCCACACUGGGACUGAGACACGGCCCAGACUCCUACGGGAGGCAGCAGUAGGGAAUCUUCGGCAAUGGACGGAAGUCUGACCGAGCAACGCCGCGUGAGUGAAGAAGGUUUUCGGAUCGUAAAGCUCUGUUGUAAGAGAAGAACGAGUGUGAGAGUGGAAAGUUCACACUGUGACGGUAUCUGACCAGAAAGGGACGGCUAACUACGUG